AGUGAACGCUGGCGGCAGGCCUAACACAUGCAAGUCGAGCGGCAGCGCGUCCGACCACCCUCGGGUGGUCGGAUGGCGGCGAGCGGCGGACGGGUGAGGAAUGCAUCGGAAUCUGCCUCGUUGUGGGGGAUAACGUAGGGAAACUUACGCUAAUACCGCAUACGACCUACGGGUGAAAGUGGGGGACCUUCGGGCCUCACGCGAUGAGAUGAGCCGAUGCCGGAUUAGCUAGUUGGCGGGGUAAAGGCCCACCAAGGCGACGAUCCGUAGCUGGUCUGAGAGGAUGAUCAGCCACACUGGAACUGAGACACAGUCCAGACUCCUACGGGAGGCAGCAGUGGGGAAUAUUGGACAAUGGGGGCAACCCUGAUCCAGCCAUGCCGCGUGUGUGAAGAAGGCC
rnacentral:rRNA from 1 species